UCGAGAAGCUUCGGCAAUGGGCGAAAGCCUGACCGAGCGACGCCGCGUGAGCGAUGAAGGCCCUAGUGGUUGUAAAGCUCUGUCAGAUUGGGAAUAAAUGCCGGGGGCGAAUAACCCCUGGAGCUGAAGGUACCGUCAGAGGAAGCACCGGCUAACUCCGUGCCAGCAGCCGCGGUAAUACGGAGGGUGCAAGCGUUGUUCGGAUUCACUGGGUAUAAAGGGUGCGUAGGCGGCCUCAUAAGUCAGAGGUGAAAGCUGCCGGCUUAACUGGCAAAUUGCCUUUGAGACUGUGAGGCUUGAGUCCGGGAGAGGAAGGCGGAAUUCCAGGUGUAGCGGUGAAAUGCGUAAAUAUCUGGAGGAACACCGGUGGCGAAGGCGGCCUUCUGGUCCGGUACUGACGCUGAGGCACGAAAGCCAGGGGAGCAAACG
rnacentral:rRNA from 1 species